rnacentral:rRNA from 1 species
CCUGACGGUAGUCGUAUGCUCGUCUCCGAGACUAAGCCAUGCAAGUCCAAGUACACGUCCUUGAACGACGGAAACUGCGAACGGCUCAUUAAAUCAGUUGCGAUCUACUCGGCGUUCCGCGCCGCCGGAUAACCGUAGUAAUUCUAGGGCUAAUACGUGCGAAGCGCCCGAAGCCGCGAGGCGACGGGCGUUCUCGCCGGAUGUAGGAACCGACCCGGGGACCGCCGGGGCAACCCGGCGCCCCCGAGACGGGGCGAACCACGGUGAAUGACGGAUCGUCGGCCCCGCGCCGGCGACUCGCCGAAUGAGUUUCUGACCUAUCAACUCGAGACGGCGGGGUAGAGGCCCGCCGCGGUAACGACGGGUAACGGGGAAUCAGGGUUCGAUUCCCGGAGACGGGGAGCCCCGGAGGAAACGGCUACCACUUUCCAAGGAAGGCAGCAGGCGCGCAACUUACCCUAAUCUCGAUUCGAGGA